GGAUUCCCCUAGUAACUGCGAGUGAAGCGGGAAAAGCUCAAAUUUAAAAUCUGGCGGCCUCGCCGUCCGAGUUGUAGUCUGGAGAAGUGCUUUCCGCGCUGGACCGUGUACAAGUCUCUUGGAACAGAGCGUCAUAGAGGGUGAGAAUCCCGUCUUUGACACGGACUACCAGUGCUUUGUGAUGCGCUCUCAAAGAGUCGAGUUGUUUGGGAAUGCAGCUCAAAAUGGGUGGUGAAUUCCAUCUAAAGCUAAAUAUUGGCGAGAGACCGAUAGCGAACAAGUACCGUGAGGGAAAGAUGAAAAGCACUUUGGAAAGAGAGUUAAACAGUACGUGAAAUUGCUGAAAGGGAAACGCUUGAAGUCAGUCGCGUUGUCCGGAACUCAGCCUUGCUUUCGCUUGGUGCACUUUCCGGAUGACGGGCCAGCAUCGAUUUUGACCGUCGGAUAAGGGCUAGAGUAAUGUGGCACCUUUUGGUGUGUUAUAGACUUUGGUUUUACGGCGGUUGGGAUCGAGGAACGCAGCGCGCCGCAAGGCAGGGGUUCGCCCACUUUCGCGCUUAGGAUGCUGGCAUAAUGGCUUUAAACGACCCGUCUUGAAACACGGACCAAGGAGUCUAACAUACCUGCGAGUGUUUGGGUGGUAAACCCGAGCGCGUAAUGAAAGUGAAAG
rnacentral:rRNA from 1 species